rnacentral:rRNA from 1 species
GUUGGGUAGGGGAGCGUUCUGUAAGCCUGUGAAGGUGGCCUGUGAGGGUUGCUGGAGGUAUCAGAAGUGCGAAUGCUGACAUAAGUAACGAUAAAGCGGGUGAAAAGCCCGCUCGCCGGAAGACCAAGGGUUCCUGUCCAACGUUAAUCGGGGCAGGGUGAGUCGACCCCUAAGGCGAGGCCGAAAGGCGUAGUCGAUGGGAAACGGGUUAAUAUUCCCGUACUUGGUGUUACUGCGAAGGGGGGACGGAGAAGGCUAUGUUGGCCGGGCGACGGUUGUCCCGGUUUAAGCGUGUAGGUGUGUGUUCCAGGUAAAUCCGGUUCACUUUAACACUGAGGCGUGAUGACGAGGCACUACGGUGCUGAAGCAACAAAUGCCCUGCUUCCAGGAAAAGCCUCUAAGCAUCAGGUAACAUCAAAUCGUACCCCAAACCGACACAGGUGGUCAGGUAGAGAAUACCAAGGCGCUUGAGAGAACUCGGGUGAAGGAACUAGGCAAAAUGGUGCCGUAACUUCGGGAGAAGGCACGCUGACAC